rnacentral:rRNA from 1 species
AGAGUUUGAUCCUGGCUCAGAUUGAACGCUGGCGGCAUGCUUUACACAUGCAAGUCGAACGGCAGCACGGGUGCUUGCACCUGGUGGCGAGUGGCGAACGGGUGAGUAAUGCACCGGAACGUACCCAGUAAUGGGGGAUAACACAUCGAAAGAUGUGCUAAUACCGCAUACGCCCUGAGGGGGAAAGCGGGGGAUCGUAAGACCUCGCGUUAUUGGAGCGGCCGAUGCCGGAUUAGCUAGUUGGUGAGGUAAGAGCUCACCAAGGCGACGAUCCGUAGCUGGUCUAAGAGGACGACCAGCCACACUGGGACUGAGACACGGCCCAGACUCCUACGGGAGGCAGCAGUGGGGAAUUUUGGACAAUGGGCGCAAGCCUGAUCCAGCCAUGCCGCGUGAGUGAAGAAGGCCUUCGGGUUGUAAAGCUCUUUCGCAAGGAAAGAAAACUUAUCUACUAA